GAUGAACGCUAGCGGCAGGCCUAAUACAUGCAAGUCGAGGGGUAGUGGGAGCUUGCUUCCAUGAGACCGGCGCACGGGGUGCGUAACGCGUAUGCAAUCUACCUCUAUCUGGGGGAUAGCCCGGAGAAAUCCGGAUUAACACCGCAUAAAAUCACAGUACGGCAUCGUACAAUGAUCAAAUAUUUAUAGGAUAGAGAUGA
rnacentral:rRNA from 1 species